GCUCCUAUGGCCAAGGGGUAAGGCGUUGCACUUGUAUUACAUAAGUUAUGCAAAGAUCCGUGGUUCAAAUCCGCGUGGGAGCU